rnacentral:rRNA from 1 species
ACGUACACUCCUGCGGGAGGCAGCAGUGGGGAAUAUUGGACAAUGGGCGCAAGCCUGAUCCAGCCAUGCCGCGUGAGUGAUGAAGGCCCUAGGGUUGUAAAGCUCUUUCACCGGUGAAGAUAAUGACGGUAACCGGAGAAGAAGCCCCGGCUAACUUCGUGCCAGCAGCCGCGGUAAUACGAAGGGGGCUAGCGUUGUUCGGAUUUACUGGGCGUAAAGCGCACGUAGGCGGACUAUUAAGUCAGGGGUGAAAUCCCGGGGCUCAACCCCGGAACUGCCUUUGAUACUGGGAGUGUUGAGUUCGAGAGAGGUGAGUGGAAUUCCGAGUGUAGAGGUGAAAUUCGUAGAUAUUCGGAGGAACACCAGUGGCGAAGGCGGCUCACUGGCUCGAUACUGACGCUGAGGUGCGAAAGCGUGGGGAGCAAACAGGAUUAGAAACCCCAGUAGUCCCAUGA